rnacentral:lncRNA from 1 species
AAAAAAAUGAAAUAACACGAGAAUGGCCCUGAAGGAGUUGAUGGCCUGGGAGGGAGGUGGUACACCCAAGUAAAUGUGAGAUGACAGCUGCGUAUAAGCUCCAUGGACGUGAGAAAAGGGGGAGCAGUGGAGGUGGGCUUUAGAGCUAUGCCACCUUGAGAAACGCAUUUCUGGCCAAGAGGAAAGAUCACAAAGGCCUGGGAGAAGGAAUCGUCUUAGAAGAAACCCUCCAGCUCCUACCUGUUACCUUGUGCAGAUAGAAAGGUCCUCAGGAGUCCAUCAGGGGGACAGAUGAAGACUGCUCGGCAGGAAGCUGGUGGAAACUUCUAAGGUAGAAAUGCUGGCAGAAAUUAAGAAGUCGAAACUAUGAACAUGGUUGUCAGUGGCAUUUAUAAGCAAUCUUAUUUUAGAAAACUUGAGUAAAAGUCUUGUGUGAUUUUUGGCCGGGCCCUCUGGUAGCUGCUGGGUGACUGCAGGAGCUGGGCCAGCAGUCAGGGAGGACAGGUCUGCAUGUGGAGAGAAGCUGGGCUGUGGGUGCCCAGGCUGGGCAGCUGCAUGACGUGUGGAGGUUUCCAGUGGUCAUGAGCAUGACUAGACAGUGUACAGCCUCUCCCAUGAGGCUGCGGUCAAAUCAGGACUGGAUUCCAAACUGGAGCCUGAUGGAGGAAUGAACUAAACUGCAAGGGUGGCUGCUGGCACAGAGCUCCUCAAGAUGUUGACAGAGGGAGAAAUGUGGUGUUCUCAGAUGAGGGACGGAUGUGGCUAAAAAUCCCCAGUUUUAGGGAGUGUGGGUAGAGAUCAUGGUUUUAAGGACCCGGAGAAUAAAA